UUUGAAUACCAUGAGUAUCUUAAAAGCAUCAGAUGCCAGCUGAUUUUGGAAGUUAAGCAGGAUUGGCACUGACUAGAACUUGGAUGAUGAAUACCAGGAGCUAUAGGUUAUUUUCAGAG
rnacentral:rRNA from 11 species